rnacentral:rRNA from 1 species
AGAUUGAACGCUGGCGGCAUGCUUUACACAUGCAAGUCGAACGGUAACAGGCCGCAAGGUGCUGACGAGUGGCGAACGGGUGAGUAAUGCAUCGGAACGUGCCCAGUCGUGGGGGAUAACGCAGCGAAAGCUGUGCUAAUACCGCAUACGAUCUAUGGAUGAAAGCGGGGGACCGAAAGGCCUCGCGCGAUUGGAGCGGCCGAUGUCAGAUUAGCUAGUUGGUGGGGUAAAGGCCCACCAAGGCGACGAUCUGUAGCUGGUCUGAGAGGACGACCAGCCACACUGGAACUGAGACACGGUCCAGACUCCUACGGGAGGCAGCAGUGGGGAAUUUUGGACAAUGGGCGCAAGCCUGAUCCAGCAAUGCCGCGUGCAGGAAGAAGGCCUUCGGUUGUAAACUGUCUUUUGUACGGAACGAAACGGUUCUCUCUAAUACAGGGCUAAUGACGUACCGUAAGAAUAAGACACCGGACUAACGUACGUGCCAGCACGUA